AAGUGCCCCUCCCGCAGCCUGGCAGAGGGGCUGUCAGGGUGGGCAGCACAGGUGCCAUACCUGGGGCCAUUGUCUCUCUCUCCUCCAGCAUGCCUGCUGUGUCAGCAAUCAGAGGCUGACCCGGACAUCUGCGGAGAAAAAAUUUUCCUAUUUGGGCUCUGUGUCCACAAGCUCUGCCUGGUGAGUUGCACUGCGGGCUCCCUCCACUUUUUGACAGGCAGUCCCUGCCACUCUCUCCUCAUCAGUGAGUGUCCUUUUCCUGCAGUUUUUUGUCAGCAACUCUCCUGACCGCCCCGUUCUGCGACUCGAAGACUGGGAUAUUGACGAAAGAGAGAUCCCAGAUAUAGUCUCCCGGGCGGCUCAGCAGAGGUGCUUCAUCUGUGGCCAGAGCGGGGCCACCAUCCCCUGCUGGGAAAGACACUGUGACCUGAGAUUCCACCUGCCCUGUGCCAAGCAGGGAGGCUGUGUCACCGAGUUCAUGCCACCAUACAGGGCCUUCUGCCCCGCACACAGACCAGAUCAGUCAGUGUGGGUGACUCCGGAGCCGGGCACCGAAUGCCUCAUCUGCUUGGAGCCUGUGGAGAACAGACAGACCUUCAACACCCUGGUGUGCCCAGCCUGCAAAACCGCCUGGUUCCACAGGGACUGCGUCCAAGUAGGAGUGGUUCUGUCACCCCGGGG